rnacentral:lncRNA from 1 species
AAAUAAGUCAAAAGUGGACUAAUCUCAAAGAAUGUCUUUGACUAAUGUGGACUAGUGCAACUUUCCCACAUCAGAGGACAAUUACACACUGAUUUUUAACUAUGAACUUUCAAUUAUACGCCAACUUAUAUUUCCAAUUUUUGCCUUGUAUCAACAGACCAAGAUUGCCAGAGGGAAGGUUUCAGGGGGAAAAGUCCUGAUUAGAGGCAAGUUAGGGCUGGAGGAGCAGUUGAAAACAGGUCUGCUCUUUUCCCCAGAACUUCUUGGGCUCUCAGAGAUCACAGAUGUUUGGAUCUGCAGGAGAGAGCCCCCUGGCCACCAACAGGGAAAUCAGACUGGCUGAAGACUCUGGUGAGAGAUGCUGCGGUACCCACUGGGGUGUGUCUGAUGAAAGCCUUCUCUUGGCAGUUGUGUUCAUGCACGGAAAAGCAGACUCCUUGAUACUGUGCUGUUGAGCGUGGACAUCAAAAAAAGAAAAACCAAACACCAAAACCUAUAUCCUUAAGACACUCUACUUCUUCAUGCUUGAUUUACUCCACUUAAGUUCAGUCCAUGCUGGCAUUUCUAUAUUAAAUUGUUUUUCCCGCUGUCUUAUAUUUUAAAGCCCUUUGAGAAGUCUGACAUUAAAUUGGCCACACAAUGGAAAAAUUGGGAGAAGCAGACUCCCUCCCACCGUCUUUUGUUAGCAUGAUUGUUUUUGAUUAAAUCAAGUCCCAAAUGAAAACCAUAGGGGCCUUCCAU